rnacentral:rRNA from 1 species
UACGUAGGUGGCAAGCGUUGUCCGGAUUUACUGGGCGUAAAGAGCGCGCAGGCGGUCGUUCAAGUCGAGUGUGAAAGCCCCCGGCUCAACUGGGGAGGGUCACUCGAUACUGAUCGACUCGAAGGCAGAAGAGGGAAGCGGAAUUCCCGGUGUAGUGGUGAAAUGCGUAGAUAUCGGGAGGAACACCAGUGGCGAAGGCGACUAUCUGGGCUGAAACUGACGCUGAGGCGCGAAGGCUAGGGGAGCAAACAGG